rnacentral:rRNA from 1 species
UAACMCGGGGGCAACCGGCCCKGCAAAUGGGGAUACCUCCGGGAAACCGGGGCUAAUACCGAAUAACUUUGGAAACCUCUGGGUUUCCUUUUAAACGGCGGYUUCGGUUGUCMCUGCAGGAKGGGCCCGCGGCGCAUUACCUAKUUGGGGAGGUAACGGCUCACCAAGGCAACAAUGCKUACCCAACCUGGGAGGGKGAUCGGCCMCCCKGGGACUGAAACMCGGCCCAAACUCCUACGGGAGGCACCAUUAGGGAAUCUUCCSCAWGGGACAAAAGUCUGACGGACCACCCCCCCGGGAGUGAAAAAGGUUUUCGRAUCGUAAAAYUCUGUUGUCAGGRAAAAACAAUUACGGRAGUAACUGACCGURCCUUGACGGUMCCKGGCCAAAAAGCCCCGGUUAACUACUUGCCACCACCCGCGGUAAUACUUAGGKGGCAAGCGUUGUCCGGAAUUAUKGGGCGUAAAGCGCGCGCAGGCGGCCUUUUAAUUCARAUGUGAAASCCCCCGGYUCACCCGGGAAGGGUCWUUGAAAACUGGAAGGUUUGAUUGCAAAAAAAAAAASCGAAUUUCCCCKUGUACCGGUGAAWUGCKUAAAGAUGUGAAGAAACACCAU